rnacentral:rRNA from 1 species
GACGAACGCUGGCGGCGUGCCUAAUACAUGCAAGUUGAGCGCUGAAGGUUGGUACUUGUACCAACUGGAUGAGCAGCGAACGGGUGAGUAACGCGUGGGGAAUCUGCCUUUGAGCGGGGGACAACAUUUGGAAACGAAUGCUAAUACCGCAUAAAAACUUUAAACACAAGUUUUAAGUUUGAAAGAUGCAAUUGCAUCACUCAAAGAUGAUCCCGCGUUGUAUUAGCUAGUUGGUGAGGUAAAGGCUCACCAAGGCGAUGAUACAUAGCCGACCUGAGAGGGUGAUCGGCCACAUUGGGACGGAGACACGGCCCAAACUCCUACGGGAGGCAGCAGUAGGGAAUCUUCGGCAAUGGACGAAGGUCUGACCGAGCAACGCCGCGUGAGUGAAGAAGGUUUUCGGAUCGUAAAACUCUGUUGGUAGAGAAGAACGUUGGUGAGAGUGGAAAGCUCAUCAAGUGACGGUAACUACCCAGAAAGGGACGGCUAACUACGUG